rnacentral:rRNA from 1 species
UACAUAGGGGGCGAGCGUUGUCCGGAAUGACUGGGCGUAAAGGGUGUGUAGGCGGUUUGGUAAGUUAGAAGUGUAAUACCUAGGGCUUGACACGGGUGCUGCUUCUAAUACUGCUGAACUUGAGUGUAGGAGAGGAUGAUGGAAUUCCCAGUGUAGCGGUGGAAUGCAUAGAUAUUGGGAGGAACACCAGAGGCGAAAGCGAUCAUCUGGACUACAACUGACGCUGAGGCACGAAAGCGUGGGGAGCAAA